rnacentral:rRNA from 1 species
UACGUAGGGUGCAAGCGUUAUCCGGAAUUAUUGGGCGUAAAGAGCUCGUAGGCGGUUUGUCGCGUCUGCUGUGAAAACUGGGGGCUCAACCCCCCAGCCUGCAGUGGGUACGGGCAGACUAGAGUGCGGUAGGGGGAGAUUGGAAUUCCUGGUGUAGCGGUGGAAUGCGCAGAUAUCAGGAGGAACACCGAUGGCGAAGGCAGAUCUCUGGGCCGUAACUGACGCUGAGGAGCGAAAGCAUGGGGAGCGAACAGG